UUUUAUUUGAGAGUUUGAUCCUGGCUCAGGAUGAACGCUGGCGGCGUGCCUAACACAUGCAAGUUGAGCGAUUUACUUCGGUAAAGAGCGGCGGACGGGUGAGUAACGCGUGGGUAACCUACCCUGUACACACGGAUAACAUACCGAAAGGUAUGCUAAUACGGGAUAACAUAUUUGAGAGGCAUCUCUUGAAUAUCAAAGGUGAGCCAGUACAGGAUGGACCCGCGUCUGAUUAGCUAGUUGGUAAGGUAACGGCUUACCAAGGCAACGAUCAGUAGCCGACCUGAGAGGGUGAUCGGCCACAUUGGAACUGAGACACGGUCCAAACUCCUACGGGAGGCAGCAGUGGGGAAUAUUGCACAAUGGGCGAAAGCCUGAUGCAGCAACGCCGCGUGAGUGAUGAAGGCCUUCGGGUCGUAAAACUCUGUCCUCAAGGAAGAUAAUGACGGUACUUGAGGAGGAAGCCCCGGCUAACUACGUGCCAGCAGCCGCGGUAAUACGUAGGGGGCUAGCGUUAUCCGGAUUUACUGGGCGUAAAGGGUGCGUAGGCGGUCUUUCAAGUCAGGAGUGAAGGCUACGGCUCAACCGUAGUAAGCUCUUGAAACUGGGAGACUUGAGUGCAGGAGAGGAGAGUGGAAUUUCAGUGUAGCGGUGAAAUGCGUGAUAUUAGGAGGAACACCAGUUGCGAAGGCGGCUCUUGGACUGUAACUGACGCUGAGGCACGAAAGCGUGGGAGCAAGCAGGUUAGAUACCCUGGUAGUCCACGCUGUAAACGAUGAGUACUAGGUGUCGGGGUUACCCCUUCGGUGCCGCAGCUAACGCAUUGUACUCGCCUGGGAAGUACGCUCGCAAGAGUGAAACUCAAAGGAAUUGACGGGGACCCGCACAAGUAGCGGAGCAUGUGGUUUAAUUCGAAGCAACGCGAAGAACUCCACUGCUUGACAUCCCAAUGACAUCUCCUUGUCACGGAGAGUUUCCCUUCGGGGACAUUGGUGACAGGUGGUGCAUGGUUGUCGUCAGCUCGUGUCGUGUGAGAUGUUGGGUUAAGUCCGCAACGAGCGCAACCCUGUCUUUAGUUGCCAUCAUUAAGUUGGGCACUCUAGAGACUGCCAGGGAUAACCUGGAGGAAGGUGGGGAUGACGUCAAAUCAUCAUGCCCCUUAUGCUUAGGGCUACACACGUGCUACAAUGGGUAGUACAGAGGGUUGCCAAACCGUAAGGUGGAGCUAAUCCCUUAAAGCUACUCUCAGUUCGGAUUGUAGGCUGAAACUCGCCUACAUGAAGCUGGAGUUACUAGUAAUCGCAGAUCAGAAUGCUGCGGUGAAUGCGUUCCCGGGUCUUGUACACACCGCCCGUCACACCACGGGAGUUGGAGACGCCCGAAGCCGAUUAUCUAACCUUUUGGAAGAAGUCGUCGAAGGUGGAAUCAAUAACUGGGGUGAAGUCGUAACAAGGUAGCCGUAUCGGAAGGUGCGGCUGGAUCACCUCCUUUCUA
rnacentral:rRNA from 1 species